rnacentral:ncRNA from 1 species
AGUCUUCAGGGCGGGGUGAAAGUCCCCACUGGCGGUAACAGUCCGCGAACUGCCACAGGGCAGCUGAUUCGGUGUGAUUCCGAUACCAACGGUAUAGUCCGGAUGGAAGAAGAU